rnacentral:lncRNA from 13 species
AGGAUCUAAAAAGUCACUCAGCAUUUGCAGCUUACAAGAUUUCAGGAGAAAGAGGCAAAUUGCAAGCUGAGAGCCAGUCAAAUUGUUCUAAGGAAAGAAGAGCCUAAACUCCACAUCUACCCGCAUAACGAGUGGAGAAGAAAAAUGGGUCCAAGAUCCAAGAUCCUGGGUCUUAUUUCAAAUUGAAAUAUCACAGGGUGUGAGAGAUCAUGUGGGCUGCUUCAGUGACAUGGAAGGUGUCAGAAAUGCUGAUUACCAAGCAAUCAAGUUUUUUGAGGGAAUGAAAAGACAGUUAAGUAAGGCUUUCAUGCACAUUUUGCUUAAACAUCACUUGAAAUGCUAUUUACCUAAGGAAGUGUAAUAAAAUUCAUUGAGAAGAUAUGAAUAAGAUUCUCUGAGGAUUUUGUCUGCAAACAACAAGGAAAAAAGUAGGAAGGAAGGAAAAUAGGAAGGAAGAAGAGAAACAAGGAGUGAAGAACGAGGAGACAGAAAACCGUAUAUUCUAACUCCAUCUGGCAAAAAUAGAGCUCUUGUGUUCUUACAGAGGGAAACCUUUUUUUCAAGUGUCCAAAUUCCUAAAACAUUCAAACCAAGAACUCACAAUAAAAUGAAUGACAAAAAUAAAAACUAGUAAAUG